GAUGAAGAACGUAGCGAAAUGCGAUAAGUAAUGUGAAUUGCAGAAUUCAGUGAAUCAUCGAAUCUUUGAACGCACCUUGCACCCUUUGGUAUUCCGAAGGGUAUGCUCGUUUGAGUGUCAUUGUACUCUCACACUUCUAAUUCCUUUCGGGAUUGGGAGCGGUGGACUUGGGUGUUGCUGCUUUAGUUGUGGCUCACCUCAAAUAAGUUAGUGCAACUCUUGGUUGGACAUAGUACGGCGUGAUAAGUGUCUUCGCCGGCGCCUCUGUAAGGAGGGUGGCCGAUCGGGAGCUCUGUGCUUCAAACCGUCUUCGGACAAUCUUUGACAACUUGACCUCAAAUCGAGUAGGACUACCCGCUGAACUUAAGCAUAUCAAUAAGCGGGGA
rnacentral:misc_RNA from 1 species